rnacentral:rRNA from 1 species
UACGAAGGGGGCUAGCGUUGUUCGGAAUUACUGGGCGUAAAGCGCGCGCAGGCGGUCCUUCAAGUCAGAGGUGAAAGCCCAGAGCUCAACUCUGGAACGGCGUUUGAGACUAGAGGACUUGGGUACGGGAGAGGUGAGUGGAAUUCCGAGUGUAGAGGUGAAAUUCGUAGAUAUUCGGAAGAACACCAGUGGCGAAGGCGGCUCACUGGCCCGUUACCGACGCUCAGGCGCGACAGCGUAGGGAGCAAACAGG